rnacentral:rRNA from 1 species
UAGGGAAUCUUCCGCAAUGGACGCAAGUCUGACGGAGCAACGCCGCGUGAGUGAAGAAGGAUUUCGGUUCGUAAAACUCUGUUGUUAGAGAAGAACAGCGCAUAGAGUAACUGUUAUGCGUGUGACGGUAUCUAACCAGAAAGCCACGGCUAACUACGUGCCAGCAGCCGCGUUAAUACGUAGGUGGCAAGCGUUGUCCGGAUUUAUUGGGCGUAAAGCGAGCGCAGGCGGUCAAUUAAGUCUGAUGGGAAAGCCCCCGGCUCAACCGGGGAGGGUCAUUGGAAACUGGUUGACUUGAGUGCAGAAGAGGAGAGUGGAAUUCCAUGGGUAGCGGUGAAAUGCGUAGAUAUAUGGGGGAACACCAGUGGCGAAGGCGACUCUCUGGUCUGUAACUGACGCUGAGGCUCGAAAGCGUGGGUAGAAAACAGG